rnacentral:misc_RNA from 1 species
AAUGUUUGUUGACUAUAAUGAGCCUCAACAAGAAAGAGUGUAUUCCUCUUACCUUCAAUUAGACCUUGCAGAUGUCGAGCCAUGCAUUUCAGGACCAAAAAGACCUCAUGAUCGUGUGCCUUUGAAGGAGAUGAAGUCUGAUUGGCAUGCUUGCCUUGAUAACAAAGUUGGGUUUAAGGGAUUUGCAAUACCAAAAGAAGCACAGGAAAAAGUGGCGAAGUUUUCAUUUCAUGGACAGCCAGCUGAGCUUAA